UUGCAUGUAGAAAUUCUGCUUAAUUUCCUUGUGAUAUGAUAAAGUCUGUAUAGAGUUCAGCUUGGGACUUUAGACUAAAGCAAAAUGUGCAUCUGUCCUGCUGGGCAAGAAUCAAAAACUGAGAAACUUGGGAUACUUUAUUUUUAUUUUUAUGUUUUAUUUCUGGCCUUAGAGUCCUCUGAAAUCCCAUUUAUCUAACCACAAGGACAACACGCAUAAAGCACAGAUCUUUCCUUUCUGAAGAUGAAACAAUAUCUCAAUGAUUUGCAUAACAUAAUUUAGACUCGAUGGCUUUCCUUUUGAGGAAGGUAUGGAUACAGAUAAAGAUGACCAACAUGGAAGAUUGGAGUAUGCAGACCAACAAGGCAGGAUAAAAAAUGCAAGGUAAUGCUCUAAACUUAUACAUUUUAAAGGACUGUCUUUUUCUUUUUGCCAUGUAUGAAUUAUCUGUGCGUGUUCCUUCUGAAAAGACCUUUUUCUAGCUUUGACCUUCCCUUAUUUUUCCAUAUCUUUGCACUGUUCAUGUUUUUCAUUCAGUUUGCACAGAGUGAAACAGCUGAUCUGGUGAGUUACUUUUGUUUCAGUCAGUUCACUGCUGUUGAAAUCGAAGCCAGAUAAAUCUCUGGUGCUGUUACAUCCUUCAUCUUUCUUCUUUCAAACUCCAUAGGUGGGAAAAUCACUUUCCACUUGUGAAGGUGCUAGCAGUGAAUUUUAAUACGGGAAAACACAAACCUGACCAGCGCUGGGUGUGGUUUCUGGCAAGCCAGAAGCUUUUGUGCUGCAACCUUUCCUGUUGCUUCUAACGGUUCCUUACCCAAGGAAU